GGAAAGAUGAUUAGAAGAAAAAAUAUCAAUGAAAGGAGGCCUCUUUCAAGAAAUUGUGAUAAAAAUUUUAAAGUACAAGGCUAACACAAUACGAGCAUCCAAAUGCCAGGCUGGCAUUAGACUUUUCCUUUCCAAUAUGCAAUGCUAGCUUAAAACAGUGAAGUUUGCCCUACAACAUUUUCAGGAAAAAAGGCUGUGAAUCAAAAUAUUAAACCCAGCUAAUUAUCAUUCCUAUGUCACAAUAAUUAGAAUGUUCCAUUCUCAAUGUGGGAAGCUCAUGAAAACUGUAUCCUCCAUGAAUACUUGAUAAAUUACUGAAAGAUAUACUCUGAGAAAUGAGGAAAAAUCCAGAAUCUAAGAAUUAAUGUGGAAAUUCUGGUGGAAAGGGAAUAAUUGUCGAAACUGAAACUGCACCAAAGAAUGAGGAAACGGAACAGAAUAUGAAGGUGCAAAGCAGCCCAGAGGGUAAAGGCACACAUUCUGCAGAUAAUAAUGCUGGCCCUCCAGUCAGAGGGAAAUGCGUAAACGGCAUUUAACAAAAGCGCUAGCCACCUUGGCAACUAUUUGGAAAAACUAAAUGAGCUCCUGCCUCAGGAGGCUAACCUCUUCAGACUUCAUCUGCAUCUCCCAGGCUUCCUGCCUACAUUUGGCCAGUGGGAGGUAUCAGCAGGAAGAGAGAAGAGUCUGGGUAUAUUCCUUGCCCCCAGGAUGGAGUUUUUAGCAGUGGCUGCAUCUUAUAAAGCUGCAGAUGUAAAAUGACCCCCCUUCAAAAAAGGUAAUCUCUGUCCUCCUUUACCCCUAUUAAGCCAAAAAACAGUAACAGCUUCCUGCUGUUGCCAGACUCUGUGAACUUCACCAUCUUUAACUCUGUUCAAAGUCCAUUCAUUAAACUUUCUUCAGUUAAACCACUUGGGUAUGUCAUCUGAGUCCUAUUGGGACCUUGACUAUUUUAGGGGGGAAAAAAAGCCUUUUUAGAAAUCACUGCCUUAAAGAAAGCUUAUCCCCAGGUCCCAAAAUUUCCAUAAAACUGAAAAAAAUAUAACGUGAAGACUGCACAUUUAAGGUAUAGUUGGAAUUAUGGAACAGAUAAGUUGUAAGCUGUCACUAUGACAAAUAAGCAUUUAAAUUAACAAUUGUGGAAUGAGAUCUACCUAAAUUUUAACUUGAAAUUCAAGACAAUCUGUUAUUAAAAGACUUUCUUUUGAAAACUGAUUAUUCUUAAUAUAUUUUUCAAACAAAAAUAUACACUUAAUAAUGAAAUAGACAGGUAUACAAAAAUACUUUGCA